GCUAAGAAUCUUGCGCAAUGGGCGAAAGCCUGACGCAGCAACGCCGCGUGGGGGACGAAGGCCCUCGGGUCGUAAACCCCUUUUGUGAAGGAAGAAGUUCUGACGGUACUUCACGAAUAAGCCACGGCUAACUACGUGCCAGCAGCCGCGGUAAUACGUAGGUGGCAAGCGUUGUCCGGAUUUAUUGGGCGUAAAGAGCCCGCAGGCGGUUUGGCAAGUUUCAGGUGAAAUCUCCUGGCUUAACUGGGAGGGUGCCUGGAAAACUGCCAGACUUGAGGCAUGGAGAGGGAUGCGGAAUUCCCGGUGUAGUAGUGAAAUGCGUAGAUAUCGGGAGGAACACCAGUGGCGAAGGCGGCAUCCUGGCCAUGUCCUGACGCUCAGGGGCGAAAGCGUGGGGAGCAAACCGGAUUAGAAACCCGGGUAGUCC
rnacentral:rRNA from 1 species